GAAAUUUCACCUAUUGUAGAGUUCAACAUAUUAUCUUGGUGGAAGACAAAUGAAAGCAAAUAUAAAAUUCUAGCAAAGAUGGCUCGAGAUGUGUUAGCUAUUCCUGUAUCUACAGUUGCUUCAGAAUCUGCAUUUAGUACAUCAUGAAGAAUUAUUAAUGAUUAUCGAUAUUCAACUACGUCUGAAAAUGUAGAAUCAUUAAUCUGCACACAAAGUUGGAUUCGUGAUGCAAACAACUUGUGUGAAAGUUCUUAUGAUGCAGAGCACCGUUUUGACGAGGAAUGUUAAUCGAGUGCAUGCUUAUUAUGAUGGACAUUUCA